rnacentral:lncRNA from 1 species
GCUGACAACACCCACGGCCCAUGUGGAGGUGGUGGAAAGGCUGGACUCAGCAGCAACACCAAAUCCCGGACCAGGCAGAAACCACCCAAGACUGAGGGGCUUGUGCCAGAGCGGUGGCCACAGAGACUUCAGAACCCACUCCUGAGAACAGCAGAGCCAGGCGCUUAGAGGAAGACAAAAUGUUGCCAGGACACAGAUUGUCCAGGGAUUACAGGAUAUUAAUAUCAAUAUUAUAUAUCAAUAUCAAUAUUUAAUAUUAAUAUUAAUAUUAAUUAUUAAUA